rnacentral:rRNA from 1 species
UACAGAGGGUGCAAGCGUUGUUCGGAAUUAUUGGGCGUAAAGAGCUCGUAGGCGGUUUGUUGCGUCGGCUGUGAAAUCCCGAGGCUCAACCUCGGGUCUGCAGUCGAUACGAGCAAACUAGAGUGUUGCAGGGGAGACUGGAAUUCCUGGUGUAGCGGUGGAAUGCGCAGAUAUCAGGAGGAACACCGGUGGCGAAGGCGGUCCACUGGGCAUCAACUGACGCUGAGGCGCGAAAGCGUGGGUAGCAAACAGG